UACAGAGGGUGCGAGCGUUAAUCGGAAUUACUGGGCGUAAAGCGCGCGUAGGCGGCUUUGCAAGUCGGGUGUGAAAUCCCCAGGCUUAACCUGGGAACUGCAUUCGAGACUGCAUUGCUAGAGUAUGGGAGAGGGAAGUGGAAUUUCCGGUGUAGCGGUGAAAUGCGUAGAUAUCGGAAGGAACAUCAGUGGCGAAAGCAGCUCUCUGGGACGGUACUGACGCUGAGACGCGAAAGCGUGGGGAGCGAACAGG
rnacentral:rRNA from 1 species